rnacentral:misc_RNA from 1 species
UCAUUAUCACCAAUCGAGCCUCGCUCGGUGUUGGGCGAUCGCGGCCCCCCUGACCGCGCGCCUCCAAAGUCCUCCCGGCCGGUGUUCCGUCUCGAAGCGUUGUGGCAACCCAACCCGCUUGCGAGUGUCGCGACCCCGACGCCGUUAAACCCCCCCACAAGGUUGACCUCGGAUCAGGUAGGGAUACCCGCUGAACUUAA